GGGGUGGGGGUAUGAAAAAGCAAGAUAGAACUUUUUGCUGUACUGAUGUUCGAACCCAAGGACCUUGGGUUUAUUUUCACUACCCUGGCACCCCCAGGGUGCUGAGAGCUGAAUUCGCACCCUUACUCCACACUGCUUAUCCGACAAACAGAAGCCCUGAAAUCUACCUGCCCAAACCCAGAUUCCUUCUGUUUGUGGGUGUGGUCCCUUGGGAUACUGGGGGAUAAAAGAAGGGGAGAGGAGUGGGUAAAAGCCGGAGAAGGGUUGGUGGGACAGAGAAGAAAGGGGUGGAGGAGACCCUGAGAAGACAGAAGGUGGCAACCCAGCCCCUAGUGGCAUUUGGACUAAAUCUAGGUUUGACAAGCUCUGGGCAAGGUCCUCUAGGGAAGUAGCCCUGGGAAACAGGGAGAAGGAACUCAGUGUCCUAAACAAUAGAUCCCCAUACUUGGGAACAGAGGAUAGCUCUUGCCGACUACCACCUUCCCCAUGGUACUGUACUGCGAGCACCCUGAAAAACGUCCACCUGUGUGAGUUGUAUCUGUGUUACUGUUUGAAAUGGGCCUUUCGGCUUCUCAGUCUCCCAAGCGUACUUACUGAAAUUGCUAUUGAUAUUUUUAUUGUCAUGUUACCCUUGAGUUCUGACGAGCAAAGCAGAGCCUAUGAAGAAAGGAAUGAAGAGCUAUUUAUAUCACUCAAUCAUCU
rnacentral:lncRNA from 1 species